rnacentral:rRNA from 1 species
CGCUGGCGGCAGGCUUAACACAUGCAAGUCGAACGGUAACAGGUAAGUACUUGUACUUAUGCUGACGAGUGGCGGACGGGUGAGUAAUGCUUGGGGAUCUGGCUUAUGGAGGGGGAUAACGACGGGAAACUGUCGCUAAUACCGCGUAGAAUCGGGAGAUGAAAGUGUGGGACCUUCGGGCCACAUGCCAUAGGAUGAACCCAAGUGGGAUUAGGUAGUUGGUGGGGUAAUGGCCUACCAAGCCGACGAUCUCUAGCUGGUCUGAGAGGAUGACCAGCCACACCGGGACUGAGACACGGCCCGGACUCCUACGGGAGGCAGCAGUGGGGAAUAUUGCGCAAUGGGGGCAACCCUGACGCAGCCAUGCCGCGUGAAUGAAGAAGGCCUUCGGGUUGUAAAGUUCUUUCGGUGACGAGGAAGGUUGUUGUGUUAAUAGCGCAACAAAUUGACGUUAAUCACAGAAGAAGCACCGGCUAACUCCGUGCCAGCAGCCGCGGUAAUACGGAGGG